UACGGGGGGGGUAAGCGUUGUUCGGAAUUACUGGGCGUAAAGGGCUCGUAGGCGGCCAACUAAGUCAUACGUGAAAUCCCUCAGCUUAACUGGGGAACUGCGUGUGAUACUGGAUGGCUUGGAUUUGGGAGAGGGAUGCGGAAUUCCAGGUGUAGCGGUGAAAUGCGUGGAUAUCUGGAGGAAUACCGGUGGCGAAGGCGGCAUCCUGGACCGGCAUUGACGCUGAUGAGCGAAAGCCAGGGGAGCAAACGGG
rnacentral:rRNA from 1 species